CCUACGGGGGGCAGCAGUGGGGAAUAUUGGACAAUGGGGGAAACCCUUAUCCAGCGACGCCGCGUGAGUGAAGAAGUAUCUCGGUACGUAAAGCUCUAUCAGCAGGGAAGAAAAUGACGGUACCUGACUAAGAAGCCCCGGCUAACUACGGGCCAGCAGCCGCGGUAAUACGGAGGGGGCAAGCGUUAUCCGGAUUUACUGGGGUUAAAGGGAGCGUAGACGGCAUCACAAGUCUGGAGUGAAAUCCCGGGGCUUAACCCCGGAACUGCUUUGGAAACUGUGCGGCUGGAGUGCAGGAGGGGUAAGCGGAAUUCCUAGUGUAGCGGUGAAAUGCGUAGAUAGUAGGAGGAACACCGGUUGCGAAGGCGGCUUACUGGACUGUAACUGACGUUGAGGCUCGAAAGCGUGGGGAGCAAACAGGAUUAGAUACCCCUGUAGUC
rnacentral:rRNA from 1 species